UCAGGUGGUUAUUGCGGCGGGGUCCCACCUCUUCCCAUUCCGAACAGAGAAGUUAAGCCCGUU
rnacentral:rRNA from 1 species